rnacentral:rRNA from 1 species
AAGCGAAGAACCUUACCUGGGUUUGACAUAUACCGGAAAGCUGCAGAGAUGUAGCCCCCCUUGUGGUCGGUAUACAGGUGGUGCAUGGCUGUCGUCAGCUCGUGUCGUGAGAUGUUGGGUUAAGUCCCGCAACGAGCGCAACCCUCGUCCUAUGUUGCCAGCACGUAAUGGUGGGGACUCAUAGGAGACUGCCGGGGUCAACUCGGAGGAAGGUGGGGAUGACGUCAAGUCUUCAUGCCCCUUAUGUCCAGGGCUUCACGCAUGCUACAAUGGCCGGUACAAAGGGCUGCGAUACCGCAAGGUGGAGCGAAUCCCAAAAAGCCGGUCUCAGUUCGGAUUGGGGUCUGCAACUCGACCCCAUGAAGUCGGAGUCGCUAGUAAUCGCAGAUCAGCAACGCUGCGGUGAAUACGUUCCCGGGUCUUGUACACACCGC